AUUGAACGCUGGCGGCAUGCUUUACACAUGCAAGUCGAACGGUAACAGACCGCAAGGUGCUGACGAGUGGCGAACGGGUGAGUAAUGCAUCGGAACGUGCCCAGUCGUGGGGGAUAACGCAGCGAAAGCUGCGCUAAUACCGCAUACGAUCUAUGGAUGAAAGCGGGGGACCGUAAGGCCUCGCGCGAUUGGAGGGGCCGAUGUCAGAUUAGGUAGUUGGUGGGGUAAAGGCUCACCAAGCCGACGAUCUGUAGCUGGUCUGAGAGGACGACCAGCCACACUGGGACUGAGACACGGCCCAGACUCCUACGGGAGGCAGCAGUGGGGAAUUUUGGACAAUGGGCGCAAGCCUGAUCCAGCAAUGCCGCGUGCAGGAAGAAGGCCUUCGGGUUGUAAACUGCUUUUGUACGGAACGAAGAGGCUCUGGUUAAUACCCGGGGCUCAUGACGGUACCGUAAGAAUAAGCACCGGCUAACUACGUGCCAGCCGCCGCGGUAAUAC
rnacentral:rRNA from 1 species